CCUACGGGCGGCAGCAGUGGGGAAUAUUGGACAAUGGGGGGAACCCUGAUCCAGCCAUGCCGCGUGUGUGAAGAAGGCCCUCGGGUUGUAAAGCACUUUCAGUGAGGAAGAACGCCUGGUGGUUAAUACCCAUCAGGAAAGACAUCACUCACAGAAGAAGCACCGGCUAACUCCGUGCCAGCAGCCGCGGUAAUACGGAGGGUGCGAGCGUUAAUCGGAAUUACUGGGCGUAAAGCGCGCGUAGGUGGCUUGAUAAGCCGGUUGUGAAAGCCCCGGGCUCAACCUGGGAACGGCAUCCGGAACUGUCAAGCUAGAGUGUAGGAGAGGAAGGUAGAAUUCCCGGUGUAGCGGUGAAAUGCGUAGAGAUCGGGAGGAAUACCAGUGGCGAAGGCGGCCUUCUGGACUGACACUGACACUGAGGUGCGAAAGCGUGGGUAGCAAACAGGAUUAGAUACCCUAGUAGUC
rnacentral:rRNA from 1 species